rnacentral:misc_RNA from 1 species
UUUCCGUAGGUGAACCAGCGGAGGGAUCAUUACGGAGUUGCCAAGCUCCCAAACCAUUGUGAACGUUACCUAUCCCGUUGCUUCGACGGGCGGCCCGGGCCCCGCGCCCUGAACCACCCGGCCCCCCGUGGGCGCCCGCCGGAGGUAAACCAAAACCUAGAAUUGCAUGGCCUCUCUGAGUCUCCUGUACUGACUAAGUCAAAACUUUCAACAACGGAUCUCUUGGUUCUG